UGAGGAAUAUUGGUCAAUGGGCGCAAGCCUGAACCAGCCAUCCCGCGUGCAGGAAGGCGGCCCUAUGGGUUGUAAACUGCUUUUCCAGGGAGAGAAACAUGCGCACGUGUUGCGCAAUUGACGGUACCCUGGGAAUAAGCAUCGGCUAACUCCGUGCCAGCAGCCGCGGUAAUACGGAGGAUGCAAUCGUUAUCCGGAUUCAUUGGGUUUAAAGGGUGCGUAGGCGGACUAUUAAGUCAGUGGUGAAAGCCUGCAGCUUAACUGCAGAACUGCCAUUGAUACUGAUAGUCUUGAGUUUGGUUAAGGUAGGCGGAAUGUGUAAUGUAGCGGUGAAAUGCUUAGAUAUUACACAGAACACCAAUUGCGUAGGCAGCUUACUGAGCCGACACUGACGCUGAGGCACGAAAGCGUGGGGAUCGAACAG
rnacentral:rRNA from 1 species